UGGUGCCGAUGCGCUUAGGGGAAACACCCGUACCCAUCCCGAACACGAUGGUUAAGACCUAAGCGGCCGAUGGUACUAUGCUGGAGACGGCAUGGGAGAGCAGGUGGGUGCCAGAUU
rnacentral:rRNA from 2 species